GAUGAACGCUGGCGGCGUGCCUAAUACAUGCAAGUCGAGCGAACGGACGAGAAGCUUGCUUCUCUGAUGUUAGCGGCGGACGGGUGAGUAACACGUGGAUAACCUACCUAUAAGACUGGGAUAACUUCGGGAAACCGGAGCUAAUACCGGAUAAUAUUUUGAACCGCAUGGUUCAAAAGUGAAAGACGGUCUUGCUGUCACUUAUAGAUGGAUCCGCGCUGCAUUAGCUAGUUGGUAAGGUAACGGCUUACCAAGGCAACGAUGCAUAGCCGACCCGAGAGGGUGAUCGGCCACACUGGAACUGAGACACGGUCCAGACUCCUACGGGAGGCAGCAGUAGGGAAUCUUCCGCAAUGGGCGAAAGCCUGACGGAGCAACGCCGCGUGAGUGAUGAAGGUCUUCGGAUCGUAAAACUCUGUUAGUAGGGAAGAACAUAUGUGUAAGUAACUGUGCACAUCUUGACGGUACCUAAUCAGAAAGCCACGGCUAACUACGUG
rnacentral:rRNA from 1 species